UUUGAAGAUGGCACUGUACCUCCUUUUGCUCUUGACUUCCACUGCCAUCUCUUCGAUUUCCGCAGAUCACCAUGAUAUUUGCAGCUAUAUUCGAAAUCCCGUUUGUGGACACAAUGGCAUAUGUUUUAUGUCAUUUGGUAAUAAGUGCAGCCUUCGAAAGGACAACAGCAAGCUAAAAGAAUCAGGAAAGCCAGAAUACAAAAUUUCCCACGAGGGAUUCUGUAAAUCUAAGGACAGUCCAAACUGUCAAAAAAAAAAAAACUAGUGGGCGUCCAAAGAUCUGACUAUUCCUAGGAUACGGUUGGUAUAGUACGUGAAAAUUUUCACAUUUUAUUCUAAAAACAGUUGUUUAGGUUUAUUGGGACAGUUAGUAAUAUUUAUAAAUAUUUAUAAAUUU